CCCUUAGAUGUUCUGGGCUGCACGCGCGCUACACUGAUACUUCCAACGAGUUCUUCCUUGUCCGGUAGGAUUGGGUAAUCUUUUGAAAGAGUGUCGUGCUGGGGAUAGAUUAUUGCAAUUAUUAAUCUUCAACGAGGAAUUCCUAGUAAGUGCAAGUCAUCAGCUUGCGCUGAUUACGUCCCUGCCCUUUGUACACACCGCCCGUCGCUCCUACCGAUUGAGUGAUUCGGUGAACAAUUCAGACCGCUGAAGCAGAGCUCCAGGGCUACUGCUUUUCUGGGAAGCUUUGUGAACCUUAUUACUUAGAGGAAGGAGAAGUCGUAACA
rnacentral:rRNA from 1 species